AACGAACGCUGGCGGCAGGCUUAACACAUGCAAGUCGAACGCCCCGCAAGGGGAGUGGCAGACGGGUGAGUAACGCGUGGGAAUCUACCCAGUCCUUCGGAACAACACAGGGAAACUUGUGCUAAUACCGGAUACGCCCUACGGGGGAAAGAUUUAUCGGGAUUGGAUGAGCCCGCGUUGGAUUAGCUAGUUGGUGAGGUAAAAGCUCACCAGGGCGACGAUCCAUAGCUGGUCUGAGAGGAUGAUCAGCCACACUGGGACUGAGACACGGCCCAGACUCCUACGGGAGGCAGCAGUGGGGAAUAUUGGACAAUGGGCGCAAGCCUGAUCCAGCCAUGCCGCGUGAGUGAUGAAGGCCUUAGGGUUGUAAGCUCUUUCAGUGGGGACGAUAAUGACGGUACCCACAGAAGAAGCCCCGGCUAACUUCGUGCCAGCAGCCGCGGUAAAGUAGUACGUGU
rnacentral:rRNA from 1 species